rnacentral:rRNA from 1 species
GACGAACGCUGGCGGCGUGCUUAACACAUGCAAGUCGAACGGAAAGGCCUGCUUUCCCUUGUGGAUUGCGGGUACUCGAGUGGCGAACGGGUGAGUAACACGCGAGUGAUCUGCCCCCAACUUGGGUAUAAGCCUGGGAAACUGGGUCUAAUUCCCGAUAGGACUGCAGGGUGGUGCCUGUGGUGGAAAACGAUUUUCUAGUGGUUGGGGAUGAGCUCGCGGCCUAUCAGCUUGUUGGUGGGGUAAUGGCCUACCAAGGCGGCGACGGGUAGCCGGCCUGAGAGGGUGGACGGCCACAUUGGGACUGAGAUACGGCCCAGACUCCUACGGGAGGCAGCAGUGGGGAAUAUUGCACAAGGGGCGGAAGCCUGAUGCAGCGACGCCGCGUGGGGGAUGACGGCCUUCGGGUUGUAAACUCCUUUCGACCGCGAGGAAGCCACCUGGUUGGAAGGGUGGUGACGGUAGUGGUAGAAGAAGCACCGGCUAACUACGUG